AGGACUUAGCUCACUCUGUGAACA
rnacentral:miRNA from 2 species